UACGUAGGGUGCGAGCGUUGUCCGGAAUUAUUGGGCGUAAAGCGCACGUAGGCGGUUUGUUAUGUCGGAUGUGAAAGCCCUUGGCUCAACUGAGGAAGUGCACCCGAAACUGGCAAGCUAGAGUAUGUAAGAGGGUCGCGGAAUUCCCGGUGUAGAGGUGAAAUUCGUAGAUAUCGGGAGGAACACCGGUGGCGAAGGCGGCGACCUGGGACAAUACUGACGCUGAGGUGCGAAAGCGUGGGGAGCAAACAGG
rnacentral:rRNA from 1 species